AGAGUUUGAUCCUGGCUCAGGAUGAACGCUGGCGGCGUGCCUAAUACAUGCAAGUCGAGCGAACGGACGAGAAGCUUGCUUCUCUGAUGUUAGCGGCGGACGGGUGAGUAACACGUGGAUAACCUACCUAUAAGACUGGGAUAACUUCGGGAAACCGGAGCUAAUACCGGAUAAUAUUUUGAACCGCAUGGUUCAAAAGUGAAAGACGGUCUUGCUGUCACUUAUAGAUGGAUCCGCGCUGCAUUAGCUAGUUGGUAAGGUAACGGCUUACCAAGGCAACGAUGCAUAGCCGACCUGAGAGGGUGAUCGGCCACACUGGAACUGAGACACGGUCCAGACUCCUACGGGAGGCAGCAGUAGGGAAUCUUCCGCAAUGGGCGAAAGCCUGACGGAGCAACGCCGCGUGAGUGAUGAAGGUCUUCGGAUCGUAAAACUCUGUUAUUAGGGAAGAACAUAUGUGUAAGUAACUGUGCACAUCUUGACGGUACCUAAUCAGAAAGCCACGGCUAACUACGUGCCAGCAGCCGCGGUAAUACGUAGGUGGCAAGCGUUAUCCGGAAUUAUUGGGCGUAAAGCGCGCGUAGGCGGUUUUUUAAGUCUGAUGUGAAAGCCCACGGCUCAACCGUGGAGGGUCAUUGGAAACUGGAAAACUUGAGUGCAGAAGAGGAAAGUGGAAUUCCAUGUGUAGCGGUGAAAUGCGCAGAGAUAUGGAGGAACACCAGUGGCGAAGGCGACUUUCUGGUCUGUAACUGACGCUGAUGUGCGAAAGCGUGGGGAUCAAACAGGAUUAGAUACCCUGGUAGUCCACGCCGUAAACGAUGAGUGCUAAGUGUUAGGGGGUUUCCGCCCCUUAGUGCUGCAGCUAACGCAUUAAGCACUCCGCCU
rnacentral:rRNA from 2 species